UGUGUGGCAUAUGUGAGGUGCUCACUAGUUACUUCACAAAUGGUAAGGAAAUACAGAAAUGCAAAAUGAGAUUGCUUCUCCAAGGGAUGACUCUGUGCUCUUAGAGCAUCCUGUCUGCAGUGAUCUGAUCCCAGCCUGCUGUGCCUUUGUGCUGUGUGACCAUGCCCUAAGGGAGAGAUGGAGAAGGGCAAACCAUUCCUCCCACACAUGCACCUGCCUUCUGUCUCCUGGAGGCCCUUGGUGUCCACACAGUGAGCUGGUUUCCUAGUUCAUUCACAAAUUCCUAUCAAUACACUUGUGUUUCUUUCUCUCCUUUCUGGAUCUCUCAUUAGUAAUGAGUGAAGUAAAAUAUCUAAUGUGUUAAUUUCCCUGUAUGACAGUCAUGGUGGUGUCCCUCUUUGGGGAAAAUCGUCCUUGGAUGGAGCAGUGAGGAAACCCAGCUGUGCCUCUGUGCACGGGGUCCCUGCUGGGUCUGUGCUCUUGGCCUUAGAGACAGCGCCCCAGGCCUCCAGGUGGAGCAGAUCCUGGGGAGGCCACAGGACUCUGGGCUCAGGUCAGCCUGGGCUGAGAGGAAACUGCAGGAAGCAUCUGGGCAGAAACUGGGCUGCGGCCUGCGGAGCCUGAGGCCACCUGGCAAGAUGGACUCUCCAGACAGGAAUGUGAGAAGACAGAGGGGAACCUCUGAGGGGAAGAGGGAAUAAAUUCAGACGAAGAGGGGGGAAGCCCUGCGGGUGUGGGCUGCCGGGAGCAGGCUGCUCACCAGAGCCAACCUGAUUCUCCCAGGGUCUGGGAGUGCUCUAAAUGCCACUGUGAGUGACUCCUGCUCCUUACCAAUGCUGUCCCUAGACAGCAUGGCCACUCCCACCUGGUCACUGGGGAUGUCCCUGGCUAACCCCCCCUCACCUCAGGACAGCCUGAAUCCCUAGCUAACACCCCCGGGGACAAGAAGCCCCAGCCUGGACACACCCCCACAGGGUCCUGGACACCCCUGACCAGCUCACAGACAGCGUGUCACCAGGCCCCUCUCUAACCCACCUCUGCACUGGAGUGUGGCCAAGGCUCUGCUCAGGGACCUCCAUCCACCAGGAGACUCUGGCCCAGGGACAUCCCUGCAGAGGGGCUGCCACUGACCGUGGUGCUGAAACAGGAUCAGGAUCCAGCUCAGCUGCCAAGGCUCUGCAGAGGGCUGAGCCCAGAGCCUGAGGAGCCCAGUGUGGCCCAGGAGGGGACGGCCAGGCCUGCUGCAGAGGAACAGGUGGAGACACGGGGGACCAGACAUCAGAGGUGGGUUGUGCUGAGCACCCCCUGCAGCUGCCUGUCCCCCUCAGGCAAUGUCCUCCUGAGGGCAAGGUCAUCUGCCCCCCUGGCUGGGCCACAGGGAAGGGCCUGGCUUGAUGAGGCCCUCUGCUGGCCCCUGAGCUGCCCCUUUACCAUCUUGCUUCACACCAGCCUCAUGACUUUGACCAAGAAGAAAACUGAGGGUCAGAAAUACCAGUCGCCAUGGCGCAGGCCUGAUGGGGAGGGGACCACCUGUGACCACUGAUUCAGCUCUGAUUGGCUCCCCUUCCAGGAAAUGUCGGUCCUGCCUGAGGCCAUCAGAGGGAUCCUCUUCUACCAGGAGCCCACGUGGCUGCCUUCUGCUGCUGCCCAGGGGUGGGGGCCGUGUUCCUGAGGGACCUGCCACUGUGGGGUGGUGGCGGCUGAAGGGGUAGAAGAGACUCUGUUUCCGUGUGUCUCUCCAGUCCAGGGUCCCAGACCAGCUGGCCUCGCCCACUUCUCAGAGUCCCUCUGUGUCUUGCACCAUUUACAGGUUCCUAGUUGUGCUGAGGCGGAAGGAGCAGGGGACAUGGGACAAUGCCAACUUCUCAGGACCAGAAGCCUCACAGCCACCUCCCAGUGUCUGGGCAGUGAAGUCGAGCUGGUCACGCCUGCCACCAGCCUGGACAGGAGCCUGAAGCAGCCGCCCUGCUGAGGACCUGGGAGUGGCGUCCAGGCCACAGGUGCUUUUCCCUCACGGCCAGAGUCCACCAUAGUUCACUGGUCCUCAUGAAUUUCUGGGUAAUGCUGUCCCUGCCAUGAUUUGGUGCUCCUUGGUGCAUGUUGGGCAGGUACGUCCUGAACUAGCUUUCAUUAUUAUAAUGGGGCUUUCUAGCAGGACAGUCAUGAGCUCUACUUCACCCCUCUACCCAGCAUCUGCCUUUGAGCUCAUUCUGAAGGGCACGGAGGUUUUAGCCACCUGUGGUCAGCCCUGAGUUCUAGAAAGUUCUCUCAGUGCUAGCCUGCAGUUUGCCUGUGGCAGGACAUAAAGGAGCUGGGAAGGCUGAGUAGGAGAGAGGAGGGAUGGAGAGAAGGAGGCUGGAGUGGAGGGAGGUGGUGCAGGUCAGGGGGAGAGCGCCCCCUGCAGGGUGUGGGCAGAGGGAGGCUGAGCUGCUGAUUCAGUGUCUGUGCUCAGGGGCCUCUGGACUAAGGUCAGCAGGAAGGACCAGGAUGCACAGUCAUGGGCUCCUGCAGGUGCAUGCUGGGAGCACCUCUGCUGCCCUCACAGUCACUGUUACACUAAUGCAGACCUGGAAUCUGGUACACGGAGGGGCAGAGUGGCUGGCCUGUGUCACAGGGUUCAUCAGGAGGGAGCACAGGUGUGAUCCAGGUCUCUGGUGGCAAAUUCUCAGAUAAUGUAAUUACAGCAGGAAACGCACUCAUGGCUGAUUACGGACCCCUUCUCUAUGCGGUGUCAGUCAUCAGCCUCUUGGUCCCACAAAGAGUAGGAUCCUGCCCCUGACCAGCACGAGCAGCUGAACUAAGAUGGCUCCUGUGAAUUUGCAGGGACACAAAAUAAAACACAAUUUACCUUCACACAA